CUGGAGCAGAAAGCAAGCUGUUUUCCCUAACUCUGAAAUAUUUUGCAGCAGGAAGUAGAAAAGGAGAGAAGUUUGCAUUCACCAACAUUUAAGAAUCAGCCUGGGAGCCAUUCCAUCAUUUCUGUGAAAGAUUCAGAUGUGAAAGCUGGGAAAACAUUUUUUGACAAGAUGUCAUCAGAACAGGGUCAGAAGAACAACUCUGAAGCUAUUGCUGACUGUCACAAGCCUGUAAGUGGAUUUUCAGAAGAAAACACCAACUGGAGUGAUAGUGUGCCAUUGGAUUUCCAGGAGGCUGUCUCACUGAAGGAAAGAAUGGCUAUGUAUCAAGCUGCUGUGUCCAAAGU
rnacentral:lncRNA from 1 species